UGAUAUACUGAACAUAAAAGUUUUUGUCAUGGAAGAAAGCACUUUUGUGGCAUUGUGCAUAAGAAGCUGCACAGAAAUACUCUGCACUGUCCUGGUCUGGUCUUGCUUGGAGAAUCUUUAAAGUCAGCUCUACAGACUUCUUGGGUUCACACAGCACAUCUGAAGGGGACUGAUGCACCUUCUCACAAAUCAGACAACCUGAGAAUCCAAUAAAAUUCUGUUAGGUCAGAUGUUCCUCCUUCACCCUCUUGAGUGAAUGUGUUGCAAAACAGUGCCACCUAUUGAAACGAUGGGAUAACAUUGUGUUCAUCAAGCCACGUCUUUGAAUGUUUGUUCAGUGUUUUAUUUGCAGGAUUAUAGAGUUUGUGUAGUUAUGACAUGCUUUUGUGUUUUUUACAAGGUUUAUGCUUCACUGUGAAUGACUUGACAUCAAAAGCAAAGCUUACAGAAACUGAAUUGUUUGCUAUAAAAACAGGCAGUCUGAAAUUAAUACCACAG